ensembl:lncRNA uncharacterized LOC113145274
AGGGAGAGCACAGGGUGUGUGCAUCUGGCACUAGGAGGCAGGGAAAGAUAGCGUGGGCCAGGCUGGCCGGACGUAUGUGUUUGUGUUUGAUUGAAGAGGGAUGUGAGACACAGACCCCUCACUGGCUCAGUUUUACUGGAAUGCUGCCACGAAGAGAUGGACACUCACACAGGCUUUGGACUCAUGCACACUGAUGAUCUACGUGUGAGAAGUGUGAAGCUGCAAUAAUUAUGGAAUUCAGCAGCGUGUGACUGACCACAGUGAGGCCUAGUGUUGACUGGGAUGUCAUCUGUGCUGCCUUUAUGCCAGCUAGCCUCUUUGUCGAUCUCCACCCUGAGUGCCAGUUCCUCUGCGCUCCAGCUGAAGUUCAUGACCUCUCAGAGUUCACGUUGGGACAGGGGCGUUUCUGAGGGAGAGUGAACUCUCGAUCAUGCUCUCACGUGACUCGGAGCAUAUGGAGAUUGUCUCCUGGCCUGCUGUGUAUCCACCAAGCUGGCACUGCUGCUCCUGCCUCCUCGUAGAUGAGUCAGGCCUGCAACUUCUCUUAUCGUCCGUAUUUCCCUGUGUGGGUUUCUGGACUCCCUCAACUCAUGCCCCCCAUCCUGACACCUGGGAGGAGGAGGGAGGAAUGGAAGGGGAGAUGGCCAAGCAGACAGAAAGAGCAGCAGUGAUUGAGAGUGGCAAAAACAGAGGAAGUGAUAGAGACAGAGAGCCAGCCAGCUGAGCAAGACUCCAGACACAAAAGGCUGUGAAGACACACACAUUUUCACACACACACACACACACACACACACACACACACACACACACACACACACACACACACACACACACACACACUGACAUACGCUCACUUAUGGACGAAGACAAGGGGAGACUGACAGAUAGGACUUGCGCCUGGGGCAUGUGCUGGAGGAGACACCCACACUCGUUUUUCGAUUCGUUCCCUCACUUGGAGUGACGGAAGGAGCAGGGCUGGCUGUCGUCAGCCUGGCCCAGAGCAGGAAGUGUGCUGGGGAUAAGGCAGCCAUGUGGCAGGAUGUUAUGGAUUUCUAAUUAGAGCAAUUCAUCUGUCAACAGGGGCGCGCUUUCACUGGAGCUUUCUCUGGCCCUGCUUUCGCCGAACCUUCAUACUUCACACUCCCAACUUCAUCCACACUCUACUCACACAUUCUUCACCCAGGGCGAACAUGAACAUGCACUCUCAUCCCUGGAGAUUUCCUAGUCAUUGCAUCCCACAUAUUUCACCUCAGACAGGCUACACCAGAACAAAUCAUUCAAUCACCACUGCUCAAAUCCACCAAGCAGACCAAAAUGGGCUGAAGGGAUCCCCUGAGAGAUCUCAUUCUUCAACGGCGUAGAACCGUGACCAAGAUAAAGACUCACCAAUGAAGAAGGUGGAGAAGGUGGGAAUGAAAUCAGUUGUCUGCGCACAUACUGUAAACACACUAUGAUGCAGCAUUCUCAGCAAGUGUUGUGCUCCCCAGGGAACAGACCCUGCUAUUGUGUUACACCAGAUAUCCUGCUGCUGCUCUUUUGGACAGGAGCUGAUAAUUGUACACAUAAACAAACAGAGGGGAGGUGUAUUAUUUGUCUGAUGUGUGUAUGUGCUUGUGUGGGUGUGUGAAUCAGAUAGUGAUACUAUAAACAACUGAUAAGUAUAUGAUUAUUAGACAAAAUUGAUGUGGUGUUAAAGAAAAAUCUUCCCCUCAGAGCUGUGGUUUUCUGCAAUAGCAAUUUGUCCGUGUGUGUAUGUUUUGUGUGUGUGUGAGAGAGGAUGGUAAUUGUUCAAAUCUAAACAGCUGGGUUUCAGAAAAUAACUGCAGUAUUGGUGAAGUUAUGGGGAAAGUAAUCUUAAUCAAUAUGUUGGUCGGUUGGUCUACCAGUUAAAUGCCGUAUAUCUAUGUUUGUUUACUAGACUGGCACAGAGGAAUUAGGUGUAGACUUGUUUUGUACCCAAGCCUUUUCCUUUAUUGCCACUGACAUUUGACUUUUUUGGUUAUAUGGGAAAUAUCUUCACACAUAUUGGCUGGCUCGCCAUGAAAUUUGGAGCAAACAUUUUCCAUUUCAUCCUAUAUCCAAUCUGUCCUGCUUUUUCCCCUCCACAGCAAGAAAAAAUCCUGGGUCAAAGUGCAAGAGAAACUGAAUCAUGAGAAAAACCAGCAAUGGAAGAAAUAGCACAACGAGAAAGAUGGAAGGGAGCAGAAGGAGGAAGGCAGUGUAGGAAAAGUUAGGAUGUGAAAGAGGGUCUUAGAAAAAAGGAAGAGUUCGACAUUGGCUAGGGAUGACGAGAGGGCCCGCAGUGAUGGAGCGAUAUUGCAG